rnacentral:rRNA from 1 species
GGUUAAGUUAACAAGGGCGCAUGGUGAAUGCCUUGGCACUAGGAGCCGAUGAAGGACGGGACUAACACCGAUAUGCUUCGGGGAGCUGUACGUAAGCUAUGAUCCGGAGAUUUCCGAAUGGGGCAACCCAGCAGUUUUAAUCAACUGUUACCACUAGAUGAAUUCAUAGUCUAGUUGGAGGUAAACGCUGCGAACUGAAACAUCUCAUUAGCAGCAGGAAUAUAAAGAAAUUUCGAUUCCCUAAGUAGCGGCGAGCGAACGGGGAACAGCCCAAACCAAAGUGCUUGCACUUUGGGGUUGUAGGACUGAACAUUUGAGUUACCAAAGAACUUGAUAGUCGAAGGAUUUGGGAAAAUCCGCCAUAGAUGGUGAUAGCCCAGUAGAUUAAAUCAAAUUCUCUCAGUUCAGGAUCCUGAGUACGGCGGAACACGUGAAAUUCCGUCGGAAUCCGGGAGGACCAUCUCCCAAGGCUAAAUACUACCUAGUGACCGAUAGUGAACCAGUACCGUGAGGGAAAGGUGAAAAGCACCCCGGGAGGGGAGUGAAAUAGUUCCUGAAACCAUGUGCCUACAAUAAGUCAGAGCGCGUUAAUGCGUGAUGGCGUGCCUUUUGUAGAAUGAACCGGCGAGUUAUGAUCCCGUGCAAGGUUAAGACUAAAAAGUCGGAGCCGUAGCGAAAGCGAGUCUGAAAUGGGCGAUUUGAGUACGAGGUUAUAGACCCGAAACCAGGUGACCUAUCCAUGUCCAGGUUGAAGGUGCGGUAAAACGCACUGGAGGACCGAACCCGUGUAAGUUGAAAAUUGCUGGGAUGAGGUGUGGAUAGCGGUGAAAUUCCAAACGAACUUGGAGAUAGCUGGUUCUCUCCGAAAUAGCUUUAGGGCUAGCCUCGGAUUAAGGAUCAUGGAGGUAGAGCACUAUUUGGACUAGGGGCCCGUCUUGGGUUACUGAAUUCAGAUAAACUCCGAAUGCCAUUGAUUCAUGUCCGGGAGUCAGACGAUGAGUGAUAAGAUCCACCGUCGAAAGGGGAACAGCCCAGACCAUCAGUUAAGGUCCCUAAUGUAUGCUAAGUGGAAAAGGAUGUGGAGUUGCAUAGACAACUAGGAUGUUGGCUCAGAAGCAGCCACCAUUUAAAGAGUGCGUAAUAGCUCACUAGUCGAGUGAUCCUGCGCCGAAAAUGUACCGGGGCUAAGCAUACUACCGAAACCAUGGAUGCGACCAUUAGGUCGCGUGAUAGGAGAGCGUUCUAAGGGCGGUGAAGCAAGAUCGUGAGGACUUGUGGAGCGCUUAGAAGUGAGAAUGCCGGUAUGAGUAGCGAAAGAUAGGUGAGAAUCCUAUCCACCGAAUGACUAAGGUUUCCUGGGGAAGGCUCGUCCUCCCAGGGUUAGUCGGGACCUAAGUCGAGGCCGAGAGGCGUAGACGAUGGAUAACAGGUUGAGAUUCCUGUACUAGUUAAGUGCGUUUGAGCAAUGGAGGGACGCAGGAGGCUAAGAUGUGCAUUCUGUUGGAUUAGAAUGUCCAAGCAGUAAGUCUUGUGGAGAGUCAAAUGCUUUUCACUUUAAGGACAAGCUGUGAUGGGGAGCGAAAUUUAGUAGCGAAGCGUCUGAUGUCACACUGCCGAGAAAAGCUUCUAGUGAGUACUUAACUACCCGUACCGCAAACCGACACAGGUAGUUGAGGAGAGAAUCCUAAGGUGAGCGAGUGAACUCUCGUUAAGGAACUCGGCAAAAUGACCCCGUAACUUCGGGAGAAGGGGUGCUGAUCGCAAGAUCAGCCGCAGUGAAUAGGCCCAGGCGACUGUUUAUCAAAAACACAGGUCUCUGCAAAAUCGUAAGAUGACGUAUAGGGGCUGACGCCUGCCCGGUGCUGGAAGGUUAAAAGGAUGGGUUAGCUUCGGCGAAGCUCAGAAUUGAAGCCCCAGUAAACGGCGGCCGUAACUAUAACGGUCCUAAGGUAGCGAAAUUCCUUGUCGGGUAAGUUCCGACCCGCACGAAAGGCGUAACGAUCUGGGCACUGUCUCAACGAGAGACUCGGUGAAAUUAUAUUGUCCGUGAAGAUGCGGACUACCCGCGACAGGACGGAAAGACCCCAUGGAGCUUUACUGUAGCUUGAUAUUGAGUGUUUGUACAGCUUGUACAGGAUAGGUAGGAGCCAUAGAAACCGGAACGCUAGUUUCGGUGGAGGCGUUGGUGGGAUACUACCCUCGCUGUAUGACCACUCUAACCCGCACCACUAAUCGUGGUGGGAGACAGUGUCAGGUGGGCAGUUUGACUGGGGCGGUCGCCUCCUAAAAAGUAACGGAGGCGCCCAAAGGUUCCCUCAGAAUGGUUGGAAAUCAUUCGCAGAGUGUAAAGGCACAAGGGAGCUUGACUGCGAGACAGACAGGUCGAGCAGGGACGAAAGUCGGGCUUAGUGAUCCGGUGGUACCGUAUGGAAGGGCCAUCGCUCAACGGAUAAAAGCUACCCUGGGGAUAACAGGCUUAUCUCCCCCAAGAGUCCACAUCGACGGGGAGGUUUGGCACCUCGAUGUCGGCUCAUCGCAUCCUGGGGCUGUAGUCGGUCCCAAGGGUUGGGCUGUUCGCCCAUUAAAGCGGUACGCGAGCUGGGUUCAGAACGUCGUGAGACAGUUCGGUCCCUAUCCGUCGCGGGCGUAGGAAAUUUGAGAGGACCUGUCCUUAGUACGAGAGGACCGGGAUGGACAUACCUCUGGUGUACCAGUUGUGCCGCCAGGCGCAUCGCUGGGUAGCUACGUAUGGAUGUGAUAAACGCUGAAAGCAUCUAAGUGUGAAACACACCUCGAGAUGAGAUUUCCCAUUCCUUUAUGGAAGUAAGACCCCUGAAAGAUGAUCAGGUAGAUAGGUUAGAAGUGGCAGUGCGGUGACGCAUGAAGCGGACUAAUACUAAUCGGUCGAGGACUUAACCAA